UACUAAAGGGGCUUUUAUGUCGUGGAUCUUAAAAGCAUUUUCCUCAAAAACAAAAAUGAGUCAGACUUUGACAGAAUCAUAACUCAAAGCCCCGUUUCUCCAGCCUCAUUAUGCCUUAAAAUCAUCUGUUUUCUUGAGUUAUUCGGGGAAGAAUGCCUCUUAUCUUCUCUGUCAUUAACUGACUCAUGACAUCACAGCCAGGAAGCGGUAAUGUUAGGAACCAAUAAAGUCAACAGGAAGGAACGUAAAGGAUGAAGAUUUUUCGUCAUAUCUAUGAAAACUAACCAUGCAGAAAUAACUUUAUUCUAAAGUCUUUGAUACUGACUCUGCUGUGGACACUAUGGCCUAUUUAUGAAUGCUUAAAGCUCUACAAACAAGACAAACCAGAUCUAAUACACACUGUAUGUGCGUGUGCGUGUGUUAGUCUGUCUGGGCCUCGUCCUGUUGCUAGUCAGAUGGGUGUCUGUGAAGAGGAUUAUUACUGUAAGCCUGCUUUACCCAUACACUGUCUCAAAGCCCUACAUUCACAAGACCCACUUUCCACACCAUCUACUAUCUGCACUCCUUUUAGAAUGACAGGCUACUUUUUUAAAUCGUAAACAAAAUUGCAAUUCAACAAUCCUUUAUUUAAUUAAAAUUUGACCUAAACAGUUAUGAACUUGAAUAUUAUGUUGAAAUCCUAAAAAAAUAACUAGUAAAAUAAUUGAUUUUUCUUCCAACAGUAGGGCAAGCUCAGCACCAAAAAUGUAUUUCACCCCAAUUCUGCACUGUAUAAAUAUUCUUCUAAAAUCUGGAGACAAAUCUCAAAAUGACGUGCAUAAAAACGGCUAAAACCUCUCAGUAAUCCCUAACCUUUCAAAUUUAGGUAAAGUAGCUUGGUGCCUUGUGUGUGUGUAUUUGUGGUUACAUGACCCACAAGUUGCCUCAGACAGGAUGACCUUGUUUCUAUAAUUUCAUUAAAACUGUUACAGGAUUUGCAAACAACCUUAACAAAACAUAUGUUUAAAAAUGUUUGCAUCUAUAUAUUCUUGGAAAACAGCAUCACUUUAUGAGCUAGCUAAGGUUUUAAUGGUGGCUCAAAGGAAAAAAAUCAAACUUUUGGUAUAAAACUUUAAAGAAUGUAGGGCAGAUUUUUUUUUAUUACUAUUAUUUUUUAAGAUGAUUAUUUAUUUAACUCAUUUUUAAGCAUAAAAACUGGUAAUAUGGUUAUGAAGUUUUUUUAGUCAUUUUAUUUUGAAAUACAAAGCAUUUUUUUAAUACAAAGCAGUUGACAAGAUGGCCCUGAUAAAUGCACAGGAAGUUAGCAUGGAUGCUGAAAAUACAAGCCUUAAAUAAACACACAUUAAUGUUAAAAUGAAAAAAAAAUGCCUAAACGAUCUUUUUUAGUAUUUAAAAAUGUUUAAUGUUAAGUCUAAAAUGAGCUUUAAGUUCUGCUGGGUUUAAAAAGUGCAGAGAAGCACUGGGAUAUGGCUAUUUCCUGGAGUUUGAACUUUAAAACCUGGAAAAGACGUCACAAAGGGAAACUGUGCUACACCCGGUCCUCCGGUCCUCUCAGCUGCUGGUGUUUGACAGCAUUCCUUCCAGCAGGAGCCAACGGACGAGGCUGAACCCCCCCACCCACCAUGACCGCUACUCUCAUUGCAGUUUGGUGUGAGACUUUGUAAGGUUCCUGUGUGGAUUGGAGUGGAUUGGGGCUGUGGAAUUUGUGUGGAGGGUAAUCACUGCAGACCUACAGGAGUAACCAGAUACCAACUGCCAGACUUCAGAGGAGCGGGAAUCCCUUCACCCAGACACACCACCUCCUACAGGAGACGCCUUGGCUGGGUAUAAACCGCCUGAGCUCUCCUAAGCUAAACCAGACCCUAGUGUCCAGCAUGGCUCUUAAUUGAUGUUAGUUAGUUAACAUUUUAAAAAGGAAGUAUGCGCCGUUUUGUGGAAAAAUGGCGACUGAAUGAAAUUAAUUUCAUUGGAACAGGAA